AGAAGAACACUACUGAAGACAAAUACAAAGAUGCCGAAGCUGAAAUACUACCACCUAAAUGAAAAAGGGAACAGAACAGGCACCAAAACAACAGAAUAAGACAUUCAUUUGUUCUAUGGAUGACUGCAUUUGAGAGUUCAAGAACCAGAUCAGUCUUGACCAACAUCUCCUUCAAGUCAGCUGUGAAUAAAAGCUAGAGAGAGGACCAUUUAAAAAUCAGACAUAAGUUCUAUAUGCCCAAAAACUGUCAAAUAAUGUACAUUAUUGUCCUGAUAUGCAAGCAGUCUUAUUAGAAAAUGCAUGUACUACAGACUUCAGUGCCAACGAAAUGGGAUGAGCAUUGAAAGUGAAAAAAGCAUCAAACAGAAAGAAUUGUUGACAUAUUUAUUUAAUUAUGGGGAAAAUCUAGAUCUUAAAUGAUCUGGUCAUCAUACAGCUGCAGAAAGUAUGAGAUCGGGUGUAUAAACCUUAAGGAAAGAUGAAUUAUUAACUGCCCAGCAGAUAAAUGGGUUCUUUACUCAAUUGACACAACAACAGAGACCAAAGAUAAGCAUGGCUAUAAAUCAGCUGAGUUUGAAAUUCUUAAGCACAAUGGAAAACACAGAUUUUUAAGACAAUUGAAGAUUGAAUUUGAACACCACUAAAAUGAAUAUUGCAAUGUCCUAUGAUCCUAACAAGAUAUGGCUGUACAAUAUGUUUUCUCAAACACAAUGCUACAAGUUUUUAUGAAAUUUGUGAAAUGCAUCAUGGAGAUGUAUAAUUUUGAUAUUUUAUUUGUUACACAUUUGAAUGUAUGAACUUUUCAUUUGAAUACUG